rnacentral:rRNA from 1 species
CAGUAGCCACGGUAAUACGAAGGGGGCUAGCGUUGCUCGGAAUUACUGGGCGUAAAGGGCGCGUAGGCGGACAGUUAAGUUGGGGGUGAAAGCCCGGGGCUCAACCUCGGAAUUGCCUUCAAUACUGGCUGUCUUGAGUAUGAGAGAGGUGUGUGGAACUCCGAGUGUAGAGGUGAAAUUCGUAGAUAUUCGGAAGAACACCAGUGGCGAAGGCGACACACUGGCUCAUUACUGGCGCUGAGGCGCGAAAGCGUGGGGAGCAAACAGGAUUAGAUACCCCAGUAGUCCCUGUCUCUUAUAA